AUGUGGCCAGUGGCCAGAGUGGGGCUGGGGAAGCUCUUGGCCCCAGGAAAGCAGUCUCUGCCCUUGGGGGCUGUGGCUCCAUGGGGCUGGGGGCAGCAGGGGACAGAGCUGGGGGCUGCGUCUGUCACCCCACAGGCUGCCAGGGCUCCCCAGGCUGUGCACGGUCCAGACCUGCCUGAAGCUCCUGCCUGUGUGGCUUUUGCUUUGGUUUUGGAGCUGCAACUCCACAAAUCCCAGCCUUUCCUCUGCCCCACUAUCAUGGCAAGUGCUCCCCAAGCCCUGGGGCAGCACAUCCUGCUGUGGGGGGCUGUGGCUCCCCUUCUCAUCCACCUUUUGCUUUUAGAGCAGCUUCCCCAGGCCGCAGGCAGGGCACAGCAAGAAACAAGCACACUUAGGUUCUGCCAGAGGCAUGUGGGGCCGUGCCGGUCCCUGCUCCAGCCUCACACCAGGGCUGGGGGCACCAGGUCCUGGAGGAAGAUGGUCCCCACUCCUGCCUGCUCCCAAGCUCUGAGGACAGGGGCUUUCUGGUCCUCUGCCCCCAGCCCCAGAGCGGCUCACCCCAGGCCGACACUCUACCUCGGCCCCGCAGCGGCCGGGCCGCCCCUGCUCUGCCCCGCCUCUCCUGCUGCCCGGCCGGGGGACAUGGGGGCCAUCGGUCUCAGUUGUGUGUGUCCGUGUUGCACCCGGCCCCGAGGGCCGCUGUACGGGGAUGCUCUGCCUGCUGGGCUCUGUACAUACUGUAAAAAGCAAUUGUUUGAAAGCUGUUGUUUUGGGUUUUGUUUUCUUUCCCCGUUUCUUCCCCAUCCCACUGUACCCAGUUGGAAAGGAGGUGCUGGCUGCUCUCGGCCCAGUUCAGGUGCCGGUGGCACGGUGGCCCCAGCCUGCUCUUGUUGUCUGACCCAUUUUUCUUCCACUCUUUGUUGUGUUUGGAAGGAGACGGGGCCGCGUGGCCCAGCACACUCCGCAGGGACAAGGUGGGUUGAUGGACCCACCCCACACCCGUCACAGAGCCAGCCACAUGCAGCCACGGGACUGGGGCCUGGCGGGGUCGGGGUGCUUUGGAGAGCCCCACAUCCCGCCCGUGGAGGAGUGUCCUGCUGGCUGCUCCUACCUCCAGCCUCGGCCGGCCCGGCACAGCCGGGCUCCCAGCACGGCCGGGGCCCACAGCGGCUCCAGCGGCGCAGAGGAAGUGCCUGGGGGUGUUGGGGUGCCACGGGCUUUGCUGGCAGUCGGAGGGGGUCGGGGGCUGCUCCCCACCUUCCCAGUUGGGUCCCAGUUGAGUCUCCCUUUAGGUGUUAA
rnacentral:lncRNA from 1 species